UAUCUUUUUCCAGACUUUUCCUCUCUUUUUUCUCUCAUUCCCAUGCCUAAACUCAGCUAGAUAUGGGAUGUGGAACUAGAUGUAGUGCCCUCUUUAAAUAGGAAACAAAGGGGUGCUAUCCAUUUUCAAGGGAUGUCAACUUUUGGCAUCACACUUCCCUCACACGGUGAAAUAAAUCAUCACAAUAAAAUGGCAUGCGGGGA
rnacentral:lncRNA from 1 species